GACGAACCGUGCGAACGUUGUUCGGAAUCACUGGGCUUAAAGGGCGCGUAGGCGGUUGACCAAGUCCGGGGUGAAAUCUUUCGGCUUAACCGGAAAAGUGCCUUGGAUACUGGUCAGCUAGAGGGAUGUAGGGGCAGCUGGAACUUCCAGUGGAGCGGUGAAAUGCGUUGAUAUUGGAAGGAACGCCGGUGGCGAAAGCGAGCUGCUGGACAUUUUCUGACGCUGAGGCGCGAAAGCUAGGGGAGCAAACGGG
rnacentral:rRNA from 1 species